GCCUACGGGUGGCUGCAGUGGGGAAUAUUGGACAAUGGGCGAAAGCCUGAUCCAGCAAUGCCGCGUGAGUGAUGAAGGCCCUAGGGUUGUAAAGCUCUUUUACCCGGGAUGAUAAUGACAGUACCGGGAGAAUAAGCUCCGGCUAACUCCGUGCCAGCAGCCGCGGUAAUACGGAGGGAGCUAGCGUUGUUCGGAAUUACUGGGCGUAAAGCGCGCGUAGGCGGUUUUUUAAGUCAGAGGUGAAAGCCCGGGGCUCAACCCCGGAAUAGCCUUUGAAACUGGAAAACUUGAAUCUUGGAGAGGUCAGUGGAAUUCCGAGUGUAGAGGUGAAAUUCGUAGAUAUUCGGAAGAACACCAGUGGCGAAGGCGACUGACUGGACAAGUAUUGACGCUGAGGUGCGAAAGCGUGGGGAGCAAACAGGAUUAGAUACCCCGGUAGUC
rnacentral:rRNA from 1 species